rnacentral:rRNA from 1 species
GGUCGAAAGACGGACUUAGUGAUCCGGUGGUUCCGCAUGGAAGGGCCAUCGCUCAACGGAUAAAAGCUACCCCGGGGAUAACAGGCUUAUCUCCCCCAAGAGUUCACAUCGACGGGGAGGUUUGGCACCUCGAUGUCGGCUCAUCGCAUCCUGGGGCUGUAGUCGGUCCCAAGGGUUGGGCUGUUCGCCCAUUAAAGCGGUACGCGAGCUGGGUUCAGAACGUCGUGAGACAGUUCGGUCCCUAUCCGUCGUGGGCGUAGGAAAUUUGAGAGGAGCUGUCCUUAGUACGAGAGGACCGGGAUGGACAUACCUCUGGUGUACCAGUUGUCGUGCCAACGGCAUAGCUGGGUAGCUAUGUAUGGACGGGAUAAGUGCUGAAAGCAUCUAAGCAUGAAGCCCCCCUCAAGAUGAGAUUUCCCAACUUCGGUUAUAAGAUCCCUCGAAGAUGACGAGGUUAAUAGGUUCGAGGUGGAAGUGUGGUGACACGUGGAGCUGACGAAUACUAAUCGAUCGAAGACUUAAUCAA